UACCGAGGGUGCAAGCGUUGUUCGGAAUCAUUGGGCGUAAAGGGCGUGUAGGCGGUAUGUUAAGUCAUGUGUGAAAUCCCUCGGCUCAACCGGGGAACGACGCAUGAAACUGGCAAGCUAGAGUACCAAAGAGGGUGGUGGAAUUCCCGGUGUAGCGGUGAAAUGCGUAGAGAUCCGGAGGAACACCAGAGGCGAAGGCGGCCUACUGGGCUGCACCUGACGCUGAGCCGCGAAAGCCAGGGGAGCGAACGGG
rnacentral:rRNA from 1 species